GGGUUCCCCCCCCUUUUUUUGUGGMGUGAUUCCCCCCCCACCCCWUUGGGUGUUUUCCAACAUUUUUUCCGGGGAACAUUCCCCCCSCAGCAKCUGGKGMKWUGGCCCAGAUCGUUUACCGUGAAAAAAWUAGAGUGUUCAAAGCAGGCAGAUCCAAUUUUCUGCCMCCGAAUACAUUAGCAUGGGAUAAUGGAAUAGGACCCUGUCCUCCUAUUUUCAGUUGGUUUUGGCAGCGCGAGGACUAGGGUAAUGAUUAAUAGGGAUAGUUGGGGGCAUUAAUAUUUAAUUGUCAGAGGUGAAAUUCUUGGAUUUAUGAAAGAUUAACUUCUGCGAAAGCAUCUGCCAAGGAUGUUUUCAUUAAUCAAGAACGAAAGUUAGGGGAUCGAAGACGAUCAGAUACCGUCGUAGUCUUAACCAUAAACGAUGCCGACCAGCGAUUAGGAGACGUUGAAUACAAAACACCACCAUCGGUSCGGUCGUCCUUGGCGGUUGGUYUUYMMMAGCCARCGGCGGGGGUGCUASACMUCYGUMYCCCCYC
rnacentral:rRNA from 1 species